rnacentral:rRNA from 1 species
UACAGAGGGGGCAAGCGUUGUUCGGAAUUACUGGGCGUAAAGGGCGCGUAGGCGGCCUGUUAAGUCGAACGUGAAAUCCCCGGGCUCAACCCGGGAACUGCGUCCGAUACUGGCAGGCUUGAAUCCGGGAGAGGGAUGCGGAAUUCCAGGUGUAGCGGUGAAAUUCGUAGAUAUCGGGAGGAACACCGGUGGCGAAGGCGGCGACCUGGGUCGAUACUGACGCUGAGGUGCGAAAGCGUGGGGAGCAAACAGG